CUUUCAACAACGGAUCUCUUGGUUCUGGCAUCGAUGAAGAACGCAGCGAAAUGCGAUAAGUAAUGUGAAUUGCAGAAUUCAGUGAAUCAUCGAAUCUUUGAACGCACAUUGCGCCCUUCGGUACCCCGGGGGGCAUACCUGUUCGAGCGUC
rnacentral:rRNA from 1 species